rnacentral:rRNA from 1 species
UACGGGGGGGCGAGCGUUGUUCGGUGAAUUACUGGGCGUAAAGGGCUCGUAGGCGGCCAACUAAGUCAGACGUGAAAUCCCUCGGCUUAACCGGGGAACUGCGUCUGAUACUGGAUGGCUUGAGGUUGGGAGAGGGAUGCGGAAUUCCAGGUGUAGCGGUGAAAAUGCGUAGAUAUCUGGAGGAACACCGGUGGCGAAGGCGGCAUCCUGGACCAAUUCUGACGCUGAGGAGCGAAAGCCAGGGAGCAAACGGG